GAAUCCUACGGGGGGCAGCAGUGAGGAAUAUUGGUCAAUGGCCAAGAGGCUGAACCAGCCAAGUCGCGUGAGGGAAGACGGCCCUACGGGUUGUAAACCUCUUUUGUCGGGGAGCAAAGAGAGUCACGUGUGACUCAUUGAGAGUACCCGAAGAAAAAGCAUCGGCUAACUCCGUGCCAGCAGCCGCGGUAAUACGGAGGAUGCGAGCGUUAUCCGGAUUUAUUGGGUUUAAAGGGUGCGCAGGCGGAGGUGCAAGUCAGCGGUCAAAUUGCGGGGCUCAACCCCGUUCUGCCGUUGAAACUGCA
rnacentral:rRNA from 1 species